rnacentral:rRNA from 1 species
UCCUGGCUCAGAUUGAACGCUGGCGGCAGGCCUAACACAUGCAAGUCGAGCGGAUGAAAGGGGCUUGCUCCUGGAUUCAGCGGCGGACGGGUGAGUAAUGCGCAGGAAUCUACCUAGUAGUGGGGGAUAACGUUUCGAAAGGAACGCUAAUACCGCAUACGUUCUGAGGAAGAAAGCAGGGGACCUUCGGGCCUUGCGCUAUCAGAUGAGCCCAGGUCGGAUUAGCUAGUAGGUGAGGUAAAGGCUCACCUAGGCGACGAUCCGUAGCUGGUCUGAGAGGAUGAUCAGCCACACUGGAACUGAGACACGGUCCAGACUCCUACGGGAGGCAGCAGUGGGGAAUUUUGGACAAUGGGGGCAACCCUGAUCCAGCAAUGCCGCGUGAGUGAAGAAGGCCUUCGGGUUGUAAAGCUCUUUUGUUUGGGAAGAAAUCCCUAAGGAUAAUACCCUUGGGGGAUGACGGUACCAAAAGAAUAAGCACCGGCUAACUACGUG